AGAAGUUUAUCCAUCAGAGUACUCUGGCUGAAUAAAAAUUGUAGAAGCUUCUCCAGAUUUCAAUUUUUAAAGAACGUUUCCAGAAGGAGAUAAGAUCUUCACUGAAAAGGAACACCAGCACCAUGACGGCCAGCACCAGGCGGACGCUGUUCACCACUGUACCCCCAGUGCACAGAAGUGCCUCAAACAACGUCAACACUUAAUACGUAUCAACUGGGACACUCUGGUUUUCACGUGAGGAAUGUCUUCCUGGGGCUGCGGCCACCUGACGUGGGGCAGGCAGUGAGCCUGCAGUACGCUGGGAAUGUCCUUCCCACGCUCUGUUCCAGCAUGGGCCUUUCUUCCAGUGAGGUCCAAGCCUUUAAACAGGAAGCGAACCUUAAUCUACCUGCUUUUUUACCAUCAGAAGAUAGUGACCAGGCACUUGGAUUUGCCCAGAAGAGUCUUAUUUUAAACGUGCUAUCCUGGUGGCCUGGUCAGUAGGGUUCCCUCUCCACUCUUCCAAUGUCCCGGUGCAGAGACGUUAUAUAGUCACCGAGUUAAGAACCACACAGAUACAUGAAUAAAUGUUCUAUUAGUGAA